GAGUUUGAUCCUGGCUCAGAACGAACGCUGGCGGCGUGCCUAACACAUGCAAGUCGAACGUGAUCCAGAGCUUGCUCUGGUGAAAGUGGCGCACGGGUGAGUAACGCGUGGCUAACCUACCCUGGUAUCCGGGAUAACAUUCCGAAAGGGGUGCUAAUACCGGAUAAGCCCACGGGCUCUUUGGAGCUUGCGGGAAAAGGUGGCCUCUAUUUAUAAGCUACUGUAUCAGGAUGGGUCCGCGUACCAUUAGCUAGUUGGCGGUGUAACGGACCACCAAGGCGACGAUGGUUAGCUGGUCUGAGAGGAUGAUCAGCCACACUGGAACUGAGACAAGGUCCAGACUCCUACGGGAGGCAGCAGUGGGGAAUUUUGCGCAAUGGGGGAAACCCUGACGCAGCAACGCCGCGUGAGUGAUGAAGGCCUUUGGGUCGUAAAGCUCUGUCAGAGGGGAAGAAAUGAUAUAGUGCUAAUACCACUUUAUCUUGACGGUACCCUCAAAGGAAGCACCGGCUAACUCCGUGCCAGCAGCCGCGGUAAUAC
rnacentral:rRNA from 1 species